GUGCCACCGUAAGUUACGGUGGAGAUUAUUUUUCAAGUCCUUGUUUUUCUUUUGAACAUCAAUUGUUUCCCGUACUCGUUUGGACAUGAUUUAAACCCCGUAAGACUAAAGCAUUUCAUGUUUAUGAAAUGUACACUUUGGGAUGCCGGAAGACGAUCAAGCUCAACGAAGAACCGAACACACUAUAGAUACACGCUUCCGCACUUUGCUAUGUUGUAAAUUUUAAACAACGAAUUCAACCACGUGAUGUAGAAUAACUUAUGAUUUGUA
rnacentral:lncRNA from 1 species